rnacentral:rRNA from 1 species
CACGGCCUGAGUUAUAUCUCCCUGCAUUUCUUGCCUGGUGUCCCAAUGAAGCUAAGGAGGGUUGGGUCUGACCAGUACCUGGAUAGGAGACCACCUGGGGAAAACUAAUGUUGCUGUUA